GACAGAGGUGCCGAGCGUUAGGCGGAAUCACUGGGCUUAAAGCGUGUGUAGGCGGACCGUUAAGUACCUUGUGAAAUCCCACGGCUCAACCGUGGAACGGCUGGGUAUACUGGCGGUCUUGGGCCACCUAGGGGCAGAUGGAACAAGUGGUGGAGCGGUGAAAUGCGUAGAUAUCACUUGGAACGCCAAAGGUGAAAACAGUCUGCUGGGGGUGUGCCGACGCUGAGACACGAAAGCCAGGGGAGCGAACGGG
rnacentral:rRNA from 1 species